UAUUUACCAAACAGUUUUACAAGAAACUACUAAUUCAAUCGGCUACUCAAAACAUUUACUUCAAUUAGCUAAUAAAAAUAUCUAAUUCCGUCCGCUUGCUAAUUUCCAAACAUGAUCUAUUUCUUUUGGUUUAACUUAUAAAAUUUGAAAUUAAUCACCGAGAUGAGGUCCUCCUAAAAGGAGGAAGAUUCAGCAGGAUUCAGGAUACCAGGCAGGUAGUGGAUAAGUAGAUACUUUUUUUUAAGAUAAGUCGUGCAUGACAAUAUCAAAUGGACAAGGCUCUAAAUUCACGGUGGCUAAUGGCUAUACAUGCAGAUAUCGCGGCACUACAGAGCUCAUACUAUUGCAAAAGGAAAAUUACUCAAACUAUCAAGGCCAAACGAUAUCUUCAACAGAAACCCUCAAAUCAUCUAAAUCUUCUUCAAAAUCACCUUCCCCAUCGCAAAACUGAUCCGUCGCGGUAUCUCCGGGCACCUUGGCACCCCUAUUCUCAACAAAACAAGGAACUCCAGUGGAACUUGUUGCACCACAAGUAUAUAAAGGAAAAGGUAUUGAAGUUGAGCAGACUAGGCCAGAGUUCUGGAGUUUAAGAAGCUCAGAAACAAGAAGAACUAGAGAUGCCAUUAGAAACAAAAACACUCUAGCUAAAAGAAAAGUGGUAUGACUAUAAAUAUUGUUGAGAAGCUGUGG
rnacentral:lncRNA from 1 species